AUACUUUUAGAAUUACUGCUAAUAUCGAUGUACCGUUGGGGAUCCCAAGGUAUAAUUGGUUCUACUAUGCUUUUUAAGACACAUCUGAAAGAGUAGAUCAAUACAAAAUCCUUAUCUCACUUUGGGUAUUAUUCUGUAUAUUCUACCAAUUGUAAUAUGUUAUGUGUGUGUGUAUAUAUAUAUAUAUAUAUAUAUAUAUUUUUUUUUUUAUGAACAACUUUGGAUACUUUAUAAGGGAAGAAAAAUUAAUAAAUAGCAAACUAUAUUGGUGGAAGACAGAGUGAAACACCUAAAAUGAGGCGGAGGAAUUUUAUUAGUAUUGUUAACACUACUUAUAGUGUAAUUCGCUUGAAUUUUGCAAGGUUAUUUUUAUUGAUGAGCCCAGCAUUGGAUUGGAUCCAAUUUCCAGGUGUAAUUUAUGGAGUGUGGUUAAGCGUGUAAAGCAAGACCGAACAAUCAUUCUCACCAGCCAUUCCACAGAAGAGGUAGAGACCUUGUGUGAUCGCGUAGGGAUUCUCAUUAGUGGAAGUUUGCAGUGCAUUGGGAAUUCUAAGGAGGUGGUGCACUAUUUUAAUGAAAGCCUGGACAAUAACCUGCGCAUCACUCGUGAUACAUGCUCAAAAGACUUGUUUGAAAUGUAUAGAGCUUUAAAUCUCCUUUAGUUUCUAAUACAUUGAUUAGAGCUUUUUAAGAAUUUUAAAAUCUUUAUUUUUUUUCCUAUUAUGGUUUGGAACAAAAAGUACAUAAACAUUAUUGUUUUUAAUUAAAAUAGUAAAAAUGCUGACAACAUAAAAUUGUUAAUUUUUUAAGUA